rnacentral:rRNA from 1 species
AACGCGAAGAACCUUACCUGGGCUUGACAUCUAGAGAAUCCUCUGGAAACAGAGGAGUGCCUUCGGGAACUCUAAGACAGGUGGUGCACGGUUGUCGUCAGCUCGUGUCGUGAGAUGUUGGGUUAAGUCCCGCAACGAGCGCAACCCUCGUUGUCUGUUGCUACAGGCUGCAAAGUGCUGAGCACUCAGGCGAGACUGCCGGUGACAAACCGGAGGAAGGUGGGGAUGACGUCAAAUCAUCAUGCCCCUUAUGUCCAGGGCUACACACGUGUUACAAUGGGAUAGGACAAUGGGCAGCAAGCUAGCGAUAGCAAGCUAAUCCCUUAAACCUACCCUCAGUUCGGAUUGGAGUCUGCAACUCGACUCCAUGAAGUCGGAAUCGCUAGUAAACGCGGAUCAGCCAUGCCGCGUUGAAUACGUUCCCGGGCCUUGUACACACCGAUAGC